rnacentral:rRNA from 1 species
UUUAUCUAUGAGUCUUGACUAAAUCAUGUGCCAGCCGUCGCGGUAAGACAUGGAAGACAAGGGUUAUUCAUCUUGAAUGGGUUUAAAGGGUACUCAGACAGUUAAUUAAGCCUAAAUAAGGGACUGAUUGAACUAGAGUUUUAUGGAAGAAGGCUAGAACGGUAUGUGGAGAGAUAAAAUAUAUUGAUACAUAUUAAAAUCUGACAACGGCGAAGGCAACCUUUUAUGUAAAAACUGACGUUAAAGGACGAAGGCUACAUAGAAUUAAUAGGAUUAGGUACCCUAGUAUUCGUAGCAGUAAAUGAUGAGUGUCAUAGGUAAGUAGUAUAAUUUACGUAUAAAUGAAAGUGUAAGCAUUCCACCUUAAGAGUAACACGGCAACGUAGGAAUUGAAAUCAUUAGACCGUUUCUGAAAACAGUAGUGAAGUAUGUUAGUUAAUUCGAUGACCCGCGAAGAACCUUACCACAAUUUGAAUGUUAAUUCACAGGAGUUGCACGGCUGUCUUCAGUUGAUAUCGUGAGAUUUUGGUUAGUUCCAUUUAAUCAACGUAAACCCUUACUUUAAUUUAUACAUAAAGUAGUUCACCAUUAUAUUGG